UUUUAGUGCAAAAAAUACGAUACUGUCCUUAAAUCAUUUAACCUAAAAAUUUCAUUAUCUCGUCAACAGUCUCUCGACGAUCUUUGAUGUCGACGAACGACGAUCUCGUCUUCAUCGCCGACGAUCUCUCACGAGUUUCGUCUUCAACGCCGUGCUCUCAUCUCUCAUCGCCGUGCUCUCGUCUCUCAUCGCCGUGCUCUCGUCUCUCAUCGCCGUGCUCUCGUCUGUCCUCGCCGUGUUCUUGUCUUCAACGCCGUGAUCUCUUCUCUCUCUCUACCUCGCCUAAGCAAAUGAUUUCCCUCAUGCGAUACACGAAAAGAAGAUGUAAAUUUAUGGUGACAGGUGAAUCUCAGUUUGAUGUUGGAACACAUGAGACUAUAGCCAAUGGAGGAGAGAUGCACAAUGUUGAAAAUCUCUUUCACUCCAAGAGACUUUGACUUGUAAAUGUUGUGACGCAAGUGACUUUAUUGCAGUGGCUCAUACUCUCUCAGAUUCUUCUGCUGCACUUUACGAUGUAGCUUCUUCUUGAAAGCUUUCUGUAAAUCUGCAACUGAAUUUGAAACAAUAGAUUGAUGGCUGAUCAGCAAUUGAGAUAUGAUUAUAGGUUAAGAGGCUUUCUAUAUCUUGAGAGUUAAUUGUAAACAUAAUUGUCACCUCUUUGCAUAUAUAAUGGUACUACAAGCUUUUCUCUUUUUUUUU